UAAGAUGCAGUCAGUGAGUCACAGA
rnacentral:piRNA from 1 species